rnacentral:rRNA from 1 species
AUUGAACGCUGGCGGCAGGCCUAACACAUGCAAGUCGAACGAGUGGCGGACGGGUGAGUAAUGUCUGGGACACUGCCCGAUGGAGGGGGAUAACUACUGGAAACGGUAGCAAAUACCGCAUACCAUUGGAUGUGCCCAGAUGGGAUUAGCUUGUAGGUGAGGUAACGGCUUACCUAGGCGACGAUCCCUAGCGGGUCUGAGAGGGUGAUCAACCGUACUGGAACUGAGACACGGUCCAGACGCCUACGGUAGGCAGCAGUGGGGAAUAUUGCACAAUGGGCGCAAGCCUGAUGCAGCCAUUCCGCGUGUAUGAAGAAGGCCUUCGGGUUUUAAAGUACUUUCAGCGGGGAGGCGUUACCCGCAGAAGAAGCACGGGCUAACUCCGUGCCAGCAGCCGCGGUAAUAC